rnacentral:lncRNA from 1 species
UCCCACAUUGAAAGUGGGAUGCAAGUGUAAGGAAGAUUUCCUUAUAAAAUGAUUCCUUAUAAAAAGACUUACUAGUAUGUCCCAACUAAAUAUUUUAGGCUGGAUAGGUUGCAGGCCGGAUUAGGUUGUAGACUAGUCCAGGCUACAAACAAGGCCGGUCUAGGUUAUAAAUUGGGCCGUAGGCUAGGUCGAGAUUGGCUUUUUGGAAGGUUAGGCCAGGCCGAAUAUGGGUCCAUUAAUUCAUGGUUUGUUCUUGGUCUAGUAGGCUAGGCUUGACCGGUCAAGACUUUGAGCAAGCCUAGCAUUGACUAGGUUAGGCUUAGGUUGGAUCAAGGAUAGGUUACAGGCCGCAGACCAUUUGUGCACCACUAGUAUAAUACCAACCUUUUCCAUUGCGUAUUUUGACAAGACAAUACAUUUUUAUAAAGGUUUAAAUAUAAAAUAUUAUCUUAAACUUUUUUCUUACUUCGAUGAUCGUUCUUUUAAUUUUUUUUAAUUACAUAAUUGAACUCUUAAUUUUUUUCAAUUAUGUCUAAUUAAUUAUAUUAUGUCAUAAAUUGAUGACAUAACAUACUGACAUAACAAAUGAGUGUCCAUGUGUACUUAAAAAAGUAAUUUAUAAUAGAGAUUUCAACAUAAAUAUAAUAUUAAAGGGCAAAAAAGUAAAUUACUAAUAACAUAGCAAAUUUUUUUUGUUGAGAAAAAUCACAACAAAUCAUAUAACCAUUUGGAACCACCGCCACCAUGCAGUUACCACGGUCACCAUGCCGCUACCCUCUCCACCAUUCAAACCAACAAAACGCC